CACGAUAAGGGCAAACCCUGAGUGAUCAGGGGACGCAAAGAAAAGGGUCUUUCGUAAAGGCGUAUUGCAAUACGCCUCUACAUCUGAUGAAAAGACAGCCUUACUGCCGAAG
rnacentral:ncRNA from 1 species